GGGCCUGUAGCUCAGUGGUUAGAGCAGGGAACUCAUAAUUCCUUGGUCGCUGGUUCGAAUCCAGCCGGGCCCACCA
rnacentral:tRNA from 1 species